UACGGGGGGGGCAAGCGUUGUUCGGAAUUACUGGGCGUAAAGGGCUCGUAGGCGGCCAACUAAGUCAGACGUGAAAUCCCCGGGCUCAACCCGGGAACUGCGUCCGAUACUGGAAGGCUUGAAUCCGGGAGAGGGAUGCGGAAUUCCAGGUGUAGCGGUGAAAUGCGUAGAUAUCUGGAGGAACACCGGUGGCGAAGGCGGCAUCCUGGACCGGCAUUGACGCUGAGGCGCGAAAGCUAGGGGAGCAAACGGG
rnacentral:rRNA from 1 species